UACGGAGGAUGCAAGCGUUAUCCGGAAUGAUUGGGCGUAAAGCGUCCGCAGGUGGCUGUGUAAGUCUGCUGUUAAAGAGUCUAGCUCAACUAGAUACAAGCAGUGGAAACUACACGGCUAGAGUACGUUCGGGGCAGAGGGAAUUCCUGGUGUAGCGGUGAAAUGCGUAGAGAUCAGGAAGAACACCGGUGGCGAAGGCGAGUUCCUGGACAGUUACUGACGCUGAGGCACGAAGGCCAGGGGAGGCAAACGGG
rnacentral:rRNA from 1 species